UGCAACCUACCUUUAACUGGGGCAUAGCUCCGAGAAAUCGGGAUUAAUACCCCAUAAUGUUACAAUUUCGCAUGUUAUUGUAACUAAAACUCCGGUGGUUAAAGAUGGGCAUGCGUGUCAUUAGCUUGUUGGUGAGGUAACGGCUCACCAAGGCUACGAUGACUAGGGGGUCUGAGAGGAUGAUCCCCCACACUGAUACUGAGACACGGACCAGACUCCUACGGGAGGCAGCAGUGAGGAAUAUUGGUCAAUGGGCGAAAGGCCUGAACCAGCCAUGCCGCGUGCAGGAUGACAGCCCUAUGGGUCGUAAACUUGCUUUAAUACGGGAAGAAACCCCUGAUCGUGAUCGGGGCUUGACGGAACCGUAAGAAUAAGGAUCGGCUAACUCCGUGCCAGCAGCCCGCGGUUAAUACGGAGGAUCCUAGCGUUAUCCGGAUUUAUUGGGUUUAAAAGGGUGCGUAUGCAGUAAUAAUUAAGUCCAGCGGUGAAAUCCUGCAGCAUAACUGUAGAAAUUGCCAUUUGAUACUGUUAUCCUUGAAGUGCCAAUUAAGCGUAGGCAGGCAUGUGUACAUGUAGCCGGUGAAAUGCUUAGAUAAAACCCAGAACACGAAUUGCCGUAGGCAGCUUGCUAAGCUGUGAUUGACGCUGAGGCACGAAAGCGUGGGUAGCAAACAGGAUUAGAUACCCUGGUAGUCCACGCCGUAAACGAUGAUUACUCGAUGUGUGCAAUAUAUCGUACGCGUCUGAGCGAAAGCAUUAAGUAAUCCACCUGGGGAGUACGGCCGCAAGGUUGAAACUCAAAGGAAUUGACGGGGGCCCGCACAAGCGGAGGAACAUGUGGUUUAAUUCGAUGAUACGCGAGGAACCUUACCUGGGCUUAAAUGUAUUCUGACGUUCCGGGAAACUGGAAUUCCCUUCGGGGCAGAUUACAAGGUGCUGCAUGGUUGUCGUCAGCUCGUGCCGUGAGGUGUCGGGUUAAGUCCCAUAACGAGCGCAACCCCUAUUGUUAGUUGCCAGCGGAUAAUGCCGGGGACUCUAACGAAACUGCCAGUGUAAACUGUGAGGAAGGUGGGGAUGACGUCAAAUCAGCACGGCCCUUACGUCCAGGGCUACACACGUGUUACAAUGGUCGGUACAAAGGGCAGCUACCACGCGAGUGGAUGCUAAUCUCCAAAACCGAUCUUAGUUCGGAUUGAAGUCUGCAACUCGACUUCAUGAAGCUGGAUUCGCUAGUAAUCGCACAUCAGCCAUGGUGCGGUGAAUACGUUCCCGGGCCUUGUACACACCGCCCGUCAAGCCAUGGAAGCCGGGGGUACCUGAAGUCCGUAACCG
rnacentral:rRNA from 1 species